GCUGUAACUCCGCGGUAAGAGAAUCUGCUUUGCAUGCAGAAGGUCCUGGGUUCAAUGUCCAGCAUCUCCA